UGACAAAGACCAAGCAUGCGUGCAUACCAUCUCCAGCUCAAAGAACAAAAUAAAAACCUCACCAGUAACCACCACCGUGUUGGAAUUUGAACCCAUGAAAUCUCUGCUCCAGAAGGCAACAUGUUAAAAAAUCUCACUCCAACUUGCAAGGUCAGAGGAACUCUAGAAGCUGGGUUGUAUCUUGCUGAAACUGUAAAACUCACACAGGGUCACACAGCAAUGCUGCAUCAAACUAGACCUUGGACCAUGGCAUGGCCAAACCUCCAGGCUGUGUGUGGAAGGCACAAAGGAUCAUCAGAAUGGGCUGAAAUCCUCUGAGGCUCUGUAAGGUAUGGUGAUCUGAUAUCAGUGGAUGGGCUGAGAUUGCUUCACCCUGUUGAGGAAAGAAAAUAUAAAUUUACUUCACUAUGUGUUUUAAGCCAUUUGCAAGGAGAACAGUGUUAAGGACUUUUUGGUCACUGUGCUGACAAUGAAGUACCUGGCUGAUGUGCAGCACUCGAGAUGCUGCUCUGGGACUUUGUCUCAAGGUCACAGUGUACCUUGGUGGUAUAAGUGCAAAGGUUGCCUUUGCUUGGUCGAUACAAUAGCAGAAGAUCCAGAGGUUCUGCAAGGAGAUGCUCAAACAUAUUAUGAAAAACUCUUGAAGAAAUCAUUGCCCACUGCUGAUGUUUUUUCCAUCCCUGGAGGACAAGAGGUUAAACUUGAAGAUUCCUGUGUGUGUUUUGUCCCCCUCUACCGAAAUAAUCCUACUUGCAAACUGUUGCUGUUAACUGAUCCAAAGGAUAAAGAGACAGUCUUGGCAGUUUAUUUGGGCCGGCGUUGGUGGCCUGUUGAAGAGGUGGUGAAGACGGCUGAUCCUGCUAGAGAUGGGCUCCUUUUGGUCCAGACAUUUGCAGAAAGGAUUGUCCUCUUUGUUCUGAACUACAUUAUUUUUGGAAUGCUGGAAGGGAGUUCAGCUAAUGAUGCAUUCUUUCUACCUCACUCUGCCACCGAGUGUGCCAAGAUACUCUGGAGGAACGGCGAGGCUGUUGCCUUUUACUCGGUCAAGAUGAAAGGGAGCCUGUGUGAUGGUACAACCAGUCAGUGUUACUUGCUGCCAGUCUUGGAUACUAUAUUUGUCCGGAGAAAGUGCAGAAGAGGUGGCCUAGGGAUGAAAAUGCUGCAUGAUUUCUGUCAGUCUUUCCUGGCUGAGGAUGCCUUGGGGAUCAGCUGCCCUAUUUCUGCUGCCAUGUAUCAAGUUUGCCAGAAAUUCCUGCAGGUUUAUCCCGAGGAGCAGAAGCGACUGUGGGAGGUGGAAGCACCGGGAGAUUGGAGCCAACGAGUGAAUAUCUGGUUAAAAAUUCAGAUGGAGUUAUUCCCUUCAGGAAAGGCAGCAGUGGGCUCUCAUAUGGAGAAUACUCCAGCCAGUAAACCCAGGCAAUCAGAAGUGGACCAGAUGAAUAAGGGUGUUGAAUGCUUUCCUGGUGCUGGGAGAGGGGCAGGAGAUGCCACAGAGAAAAAAGAUGACACAGCAGCAGCAGGGACUCUAAACCCACAAGGUCCUGAAGAAGAGGACUUGGAAAAAGGUGCAGGCAAUACUCAGCAACACAAAGGACUCAGGAAAAGAGCAAGCCCCGGGGACUUGGUUGGAGACAAGGCCACCAAACAAUUUAGAACUACACCAUAAUUGCUGUUUCAGAAAUCAGCAAAUUCAGUAUAGUCUUAAAAAUUGUAACUGACUGUUCUUAAUUUGUGACACUGCAGAAAUUUCUUCAGGUGAAAACUGUAAGGAUCAGAUCUUUAGUCCAGUGGCAGAGAAGGCUUUGCAGAGAGAUACUUCAGUGCUGAACAGCAGUAGGGGCCUGAUGAACCUGAAGAGAUCCAGCAAACUGUAAUUCUUAAGUCAAUGCUUUGGAACAAGGAAAGGUAGCUAUUUCUUUCCAGAUACUAAUCCAGCAUUUCCAGGGUGACAGUUCUGUAGGCAGGCAUUGUAGGUACACUGUGGGGAUGUGUAUUUUCCCCCCUGUACAGCAGAAUUGCUCACUCAUAGCCCUGUCACCCUGUUUUGGUUUAAGGUCGUGAUUUAAUGUAGCAUUUAUCCCUGUAUCCAAGUAACUCCUUCCCCCUUGAGCUGCUCUGUAAACCAUAUGCCUGAGACACAUAGAAAUCAGACCUUCCUAGGUAUCUCUUAAAAAAAAAAAAAAGCUAUAAUUGGAACAAGUUUUUGCCAAGAGAAUUAAAACACUGGAUCGUGUGCCAGCCUUAAUCACGUUGCUAUGGUUCUCUUGUCUCAAAGAAAGUGCAUUUAGGACUAACUUUAUAGUCAGUUAGUCUUCAGAUUGUUGAAAAGUCACCAAGAGUGUGCUAUGAAGACUGCCACAAACUCCAUGUCCUCCUGUGCAGCAUUCAUGGUUAAAUACAAACCUUUUUUUUAAGAAAAAGAAAAAAAAGAGAUAUUUGUGAAGACUUGCAAUACCAGUUGUGCCUAAGUAUGAUAGAAAAUCAUUAUAUCUACUCCUGAAAGCUGAUUCUGGUAUUGCAGGAGCCUGGCCUCAUGUCUAGUUUGCACAUUAUAUUGUAAUGUUGGGGUAAGGUAAGCUGGGGUUGUUACAGCAAGUGAGGAACCUUAAGAAAUUUAACCUGAAUUAAGUCUUUCUAAAAAAUUUUAUCUAAGAAGGCCCCAGGAAAUGCUAUAUGAAUUUAUAUUAGAAUAAAGGAGAUGGAUAAAGUACUGUGUGUGGAAUGGGCAGACAACUAAUGAGAUUCAGUUCAUUCUAUAUCUGGAGAUACUUUGAUUUAGAGGAAAAAAACAUCAAUUUUUCAAAAUCCUCCAACUGAAUUUAAGUUUCACCUGUUAACCAGUGAUCCACAGCCUGCAUUAGCACCACUUUACUGGGCCUUCUCGCAGAAAAGUUGCUGCUUUCCUCUGUGUGUGAAUUGUCUUUCCUGAGUUUGUUUAGGUUUUAGUUUUCUAAGUGUCUCUUUUUCAUCAGAAAUUCACAUGGUGGCACCUGGGCCUCUUAGAGAAGUCACCAAAGGUGCAUUUGCUGAGGUGGUGUUGGCAGUGCUCGAUACUCUCUAAUCAAAGUGAUCACAUCAUCCUUCUAAUCAAAACUUGUGACUUAUUAGAGCCAGGAAUUCUGAGGUCCUACUUAACUGUACUAAACUCCUGGGCUACAGGUUUCUUACAGGUUUCAGGAUGCACAGGCUUGCUCCAUGUUAGUUCAGAAAUGCUGACUUACAGAACAAUUAGUCUGAAUAUUGAUUUUGUUUCCCUUUUUUCUUUUUUUUGGUUCUAUUAGUGCUGUAAGGUAUCUGAUUAAUUCAGAAGCCUGGACUUGCAACUCUUUUUAGCAGUCUGAAGCUCUUCUCAGAUCACAGGAAUCUUAAGAGGGUCUGAAGCAGAAACAGAUCUAAUAUUUUUGCUUUCUUAACAGAACAGCAUAGAAAAAACCCACCCAACAGCACAAACAUCUUUUUUCUCUCAGUGGAAGUUCUUUUAUUUGAAAGAAAUCUGCAUUUACUCAAGGAUAGGAUGGUUUCAGAGCGCUGGAAAAGUUGGCAAAGGCUUGAAAGAGCAUUCCAGUUCUUGGAGUUAAGUUUUCAAAGCCUUAGAUUUAAUCUCUUUCUGAAUCUACGCUCUGGGUGUGGUGUCACACAGUCGUGUUUCUGCUUAGGAGAUGAGGUGAGUGUGUGUGUGUUUGUGUGUGAGAGGGGUGGCAGGUCUGCUCAGAGGGAAUUUGUUCCUGUAGUUCUUACAAGCACAGACACUUAAGUUUGGUCUGCAGUGAAGAUGUUAGACAUCCAGCUCAGUGUUAGCAGUGAUCCAGUGGGUGUGUGCCAAGUGAAUAAAGCAUUGGAAUCGCUCUCAAGACAAGUAAACAUAUGGAUUUUAAGGCUAGAAAUUUCAUUACGUUAAUCUCUCCUGAUGCUUCACGUAAUGAAAGCCAGACAAUUUCAUGCAUGGUCGCUGCAUCAAAAAAAUCAUUGGUUUUGGUUGAAACAACCCGUUUUUUAAGAAGGAUUGUUUUGAUUUGGCAGUUUUGGUUUUCAGAUGUUGGGCAGCGGGAAAUCUGCCACGUUCCUUGGCAAGUUGUUCUAAAGUUUUGUCUUUACGAGUGCAUCCAGUUACUUUAGUCUGAAUUAAUUUUGUUUUAGUCCCCUGUGAUGGAUUUUGCUGUUCUGUGUAAUGCUGGGCUGUGGCUGUCGUGCUGUCAGGAUUCUUUCAGCGUGGGGAUGGAGACCUUGUGGUCCGUCACGACAUCAGUGCACAGCUCUGGUUUUUGGAUCUGCCUCUCUGAGGCAGAUUUUCCUGACCUUGCUUCAUUCUCCCUGUCCUUUCAGAUAGAUUUUCAAUUUUUCAGAUUCCUCUAAGAAGCCUAAAUAUCAUUAGACCCUCCCCCCAUUCUGGUUCCAGUCACGCUGAGUGUUCCAGGACUGCUGUGACCUGUGGUUCUAAAUCAUCGUGGGAUCCUUUUGUGCUCGUGGGUGUUCUGAUGGUGACCAUGCACUGUAAAACUUAAUUAAGAGGUGUCUGUUUUAAAGUGUUGUCUGUGAUGGCUGCACUGAAAAUGCAGCUGAUCUUGUGUCACCUGUGUCGGCACCACGAGAUGGCACCAUUACACAGCGUAACUGUGUCAUCAUCUCUUGGGGGCUUGAGACCCUGCCCAGGAUUUAAAUGCAUCACUCGUUGGCUUGACUUCUUCAGAUGGAGGAUGAGGGUGUGGUAAAGCUUGUCUUGUGUUUGUCGUUCAGGCUCAUUUAUCUGUGGAGUUCUUAUUUUUUAAAAUAUUUGUGAAGCCAAGGAGAAGUCAGAGUAGGACAAAAUGCAAAUUGCAUCCAGACUGGGCCCCCCAUUCUCUUGUCUCAUCAGGGGUGGGACUUUCCACAUAGUAUCUCAUUGUUUUCCAGCAGAUUAUUCUGUCUGUGUUCAACAGAUAACUCGAGCAUCUGAUUUUUCAUUUCUGUCCCUUCUCUAACACAUACUUUGCAUCAGAGAACUCCUGAGCACUUUCAUGUAAUAGCAGCUGCCAUGUAAUAUACUGGUAAUACUCCCAGCAUUAGAAAAGAAAGGAUGGUCUCUAUCUGCCCUAAAGGUUAAAUUUUCUUCCUUUGCUACUGUGUUUUACACAUGACAAUUUCAAAGGAGAGAAGGGCAAUUAAGUAAGCAGAUGAUUUUAUCUAAAUUUUAUUUUUUCAUUUUUUGGAAACGUUUACUAUUUAGUUAAAUUGAUAAAACAAAACUUUAGUGCAAAGAUAAAGUUGUAAUUAAAGGCAGGUCUCCAUCCUAAUCAAAGUUUGCAAUACAAACAUUUCAAGGCAAGUUGUUCUCCAUUCUUUCACUUGCUGUUGCAAAGCCCAAUGCUAUCUCUGUUUUUGGGGUGAUUUCCCAGUUCUUCAGGCCUGCAGUAUCACUCCAUGAUUCCUGUGGCAUGAUACAUCUCCCUGCUAAGAGGAGGGAGAUUAUCUGAGUUUAUCACAUCAGUAACUUGGGCCAACAUCAAUGUAUUAUGGGAUCAGUUUGGACACUCCUGGAAUUCUCUUGAAGCAUCUGCUAGAACUCACCUUAUUGAAAUUUCUGGUGCCUUCUUUCUGCUGUGGUUUUUGUGUACAAAUCUUAGAGGUUUGGGAAUAGAAAUUAAACACUAAAUAACCACUUCUGACUUGUAUUACUCGAUUCUGCGAAGUGAGUGAUCCAGAAGACGACCUAACAAGUAGGUGUCAAAGUAGAAGAGAAUUGGGGAUGUUAAAAUCCACAUUUUAAUGUCCUUUCCUGUGGAUGAAGAAGGGAGGGAGCAGUCUGAAAUUCAGCUACAUGGAUUCUUGAUAACAUUUGCAUAUUAAGGAUGUUGCAGAAAAAGAGGAAAUUAACGUGUCCAAAUAGAAUUUCUGCUUUGUAAAAUUUAUUGCUCAACUGCAUAAACAAAGAAUGCAUUCAGCUGUAGUUCAUUGUUUGGUACUGACUUAGGCCUUCCUUUAUGUAUUUUUGUUACAGAUGAGAAUGCAAUAAAAUAUAAGUACAUGGGAGACAAAAUUAGAGGUUUGUAAUUAGCCUGCUUUGCAAUUUCUUUCUUCUUGCAGUCCAACUUGAUGGUGAAGUCUCAGUUUAAUCUCCUCUGUUUGCCCUAGACUUUAUCCUUGAUUUAUUGAAUUUUUCUAUCUUGAAGGUUGUUGGGGUUUUUCUUCAGCGGUGUGUUUUUUAAGAAAUCUUUUUGGUUUUAAUUUAAACUGAAGGCUCCAUUUUUGGAAGAUCAAUGAAUUCCAUCUGGAAGAAUUCUUUUCUCCCAGCCAC